CGGACCGGCGCGACGGGUGAAGUAACGCGUAUACCAACCGUCGGUCCUUAGUAGAGAAUACGCCCGGACGAAAGUCGGAUUUAAUGCUCUAUGUUCUUCUUUUGAUGGCAUCUGACGAGAAGCAAAGGUUUACCGCUAAGGGAUGGGGAUGCGUCUGAUUAGGUUGUUGGCGGGGUAACGGCCCACCAAGCCUUCGAUCAGUAGGGGUUCUGAGAGGAAGGUCCCCCCACAUUGGUACUGAGACACGGACCAAACUCCUACGGGAGGCAGCAGUGAGGAAUAUUGGUCAAUGGGCGCGAGCCUGAACCAGCCAAGUAGCGUGCAGGAUGACUGCCCUAUGGGUUGUAAACUGCUUUUAUAGGGGAAUAAAGUGGGGAACGUGUUCCUUUUUGCAUGUACCCUAUGAAUAAGGACCGGCUAAUUCCGUGCCAGCAGCCGC
rnacentral:rRNA from 1 species